rnacentral:rRNA from 1 species
AUUGAACGCUGGCGGAAUGCUUUACACAUGCAAGUCGAACGGUGAACCUUAGCUUGCUAAGGGGAUUAGUGGCGAACGGGUGAGUAAUAUAUCGGAACGUGCCUUGUAAUGGGGGAUAACUAGUCGAAAGAUUAGCUAAUACCGCAUACGCCCUGAGGGGGAAAGUAGGGGAUCUUCGGACCUUACGUUAUAAGAGCGGCCGAUAUCUGAUUAGCUAGUUGGUGGGGUAAUGGCCUACCAAGGCGACGAUCAGUAGCUGGUCUGAGAGGACGACCAGCCACACUGGAACUGAGACACGGUCCAGACUCCUACGGGAGGCAGCAGUGGGGAAUUUUGGACAAUGGGCGCAAGCCUGAUCCAGCCAUUCCGCGUGAGUGAAGAAGGCCUUCGGGUUGUAAAGCUCUUUCGCAAGGGAAGAAAACUUACCAUCGAAUAAAUGGUGAGGCUGACGGUACCUUGAGAAGAAGCACCGGCUAACUACGUG